rnacentral:lncRNA from 1 species
UGGGAGUUUGUAUUAGAAAUAAGAGAUUGAGAUUGAAAUUGUGGUUUUAGAAUUUGGAGUUUGGAAUGGAAAGAAUAGAUUGAGGUUAAAGGGAUGAUGGGGUUUGGUGUAUAUGAAGUAGAAGAUAAGGAAGAUGGGGUUUGGGGUUUCGGAUUUUAGGGAUUUAAACAUAUUCCUCAUAAUUUCCUCGUAAGAUACCGAGGAAAUAACGAUGAAAAGAACGCGGGCCUCGCUAAUUCCUCGUUAAUUCCACGUAAGCACAAUUCGUCGUAAAGACCUCGUAAGAGGAAAACGCGGACCACGUGAAUUCCUCGUAAAUAAUAACACCGGCCUUGCUAUUUCCUCGUACAUGAGCGACCAAUAAAAAAGAAGAAAAAAAAAGAAAGAGAAGAAAGAUACCGAAAUCAUAGGAGGGAAGAAACAAGGCGAGACCUACGUAAGUCUAGCCUUCUCUCCGCCCACAUGUGUUCCCGUAUCUUUCUCCCCUUCCUUUUUUUCAAAUCUUUCUAAUUUGAGAAGCAAACUGGUGAAUAAUUAUUUCUGAUUUGCAGAGUUUAUCUUUGAUUUGAGAAGCAAACUGGUGUAUAUUUAUAGAAAACGUGGGCCUCGCUAAUUCCUCGUUAAUUCCACGUAAGCACAAUUCGUCGUAAAGACGUCGUAAAUAAAAACGCGGGCCUCGCUAAUCCCUUGUUACACAACGAGGAAGUUACGAGGAAACAAAACGCGGGCCUCACUAAUUCCUCGUAUAAAAUAAUGCGGGCCUCGCUAGUUCCUCGUAAAGUUACGAGGAAAUUACGACAAUAACUAAUUUCUUAAAUAAACACGCGAGCCCGCUCUCCCAUUU